rnacentral:rRNA from 1 species
CGUGCUUAACACAUGCAAGUCGAACGAUGAAGUGGUGCUUGCAUCAUGGAUUAGUGGCGAACGGGUGAGUAACACGUGAGUAACCUGCCCUUGACUUCGGGAUAAGCCUGGGAAACUGGGUCUAAUACUGGAUACGACCUUCUGACGCAUGUCAUGGGGGUGGAAAGUUUUUGCGGUUUUGGAUGGACUCGCGGCCUAUCAGCUUGUUGGUGAGGUAAUGGCUUACCAAGGCGACGACGGGUAGCCGGCCUGAGAGGGUGACCGGCCACACUGGGACUGAGACACGGCCCAGACUCCUACGGGAGGCAGCAGUGGGGAAUAUUGCACAAUGGGCGAAAGCCUGAUGCAGCGACGCCGCGUGAGGGAUGACGGCCUUCGGGUUGUAAACCUCUUUCAGUAGGGAACAAGGCAUCAUUUUUGUGGUGUUGAGGGUACUUGCAGAAGAAGCACCGGCUAACUACGUGCCAGCAGCCGCGGUAAUACGUAGGGUGCAAGCGUUAUCCGGAAUUAUUGGGCGUAAAGAGCUCGUAGGCGGUUUGUCGCGUCUGCCGUGAAAGUCCGGGGCUCAACUCCGGAUCUGCGGUGGGUACGGGCAGACUAGAGUGAUGUAGGGGAGACUGGAAUUCCUGGUGUAGCGGUGGAAUGCGCAGAUAUCAGGAGGAACACCGAUGGCGAAGGCAGGUCUCUGGGCAUUAACUGACGCUGAGGAGCGAAAGCAUGGGGAGCGAACAGGAUUAGAUACCCUGGUAGUCCAUGCCGUAAACGUUGGGCACUAGGUGUG